AGCGAACGCUGGCGGCAGGCUUAACACAUGCAAGUCGAGCGCCCCGCAAGGGGCGCGGCAGACGGGAGUGUAAGACGUGGGAACAUACCUUUUGGUUCGGAACAACUUAGGGACACUUCAGCUAAUACCGGAUAAGCCCUUACGGGGAAAGAUUUAUCGCCGAAAGAUUGGCCCGCGUCUGAUUAGCUAGUUGGUGAGGUAACGGCUCACCAAGGCGACGAUCAGUAGCUGGUCUGAGAGGAUGAUCAGCCUCACUGGGACUGAGACACGGCCCAGACUCCUACGGGAGGCAGCAGUGGGGAAUAUUGGACAAUGGGGGCAACCCUGAUCCAGCCAUGCCGCGUGAGUGAUGAAGGCCUUAGGGUUGUAAAGCUCUUUUGCCCGGGAAGAUAAUGACGGUACCGGGAGAAUAAGCCCCGGCUAACUUCGUG
rnacentral:rRNA from 1 species